rnacentral:rRNA from 1 species
UACGGAGGGGGCAAGCGUUGUCCGGAAUCACUGGGCGUAAAGGGUGCGUAGGCGGGUCUUUAAGUCAGGGGUGAAAUCCUGGAGCUCAACUCCAGAACUGCCUUUGAUACUGAGGAUCUUGAGUUCGGGAGAGGUGAGUGGAACUGCGAGUGUAGAGGUGAAAUUCGUAGAUAUUCGCAAGAACACCAGUGGCGAAGGCGGCUCACUGGUCCGGAUCUGACGCUGAGGCGCGAAAGCGUGGGGAGCAAACAGG